GUAAAAUAUCAAGUAUAUGAGUGUAUACUUCAUGUUAAACAUAUAUAUACUGAUUUGAUAAGCAAAGACAACAUCGGCAGUAUUGACAGCAAAAUAGCCUACAGAGUAUUUUGUUCUAUAUUGACAGGUGCAACAUUUGAAAAUC